UAACCCCUACUUCCCUUUGGUACUUGGGUGCUCCGCAGUUGCCAACCAUGAUUUUGCCAACUGGGUUGAGACAUUUCAGUGGGACAAAUCACUCUGUUUAUUCCCUGCCAUCCUCACGAGUUUACAGCCAGAACCUCCAUUGCUUUCAGCCUGAAAUUUUCCUUUGCUUUCCUGCAAAUCCUUGGACUUGUGUCAUAAGGUGCACCAAGAUAUUUCACCAAGAGAGAAAACAUCUGACAAAAGGUGUCCAUAUGACUGCAACGGGGAAUCUGGCCAGCUCACAGAAACUUCCUCUUCUCCAAGAACUGCAUACUGAGGCAAAUUCCCAGCUUAUUAAAAAAUAGUUGUGUUAUUUUGC